UGGGGAAUUUUGGACAAUGGGCGCAAGCCUGAUCCAGCAAUGCCGCGUGCAGGAUGAAGGCCUUCGGGUUGUAAACUGCUUUUGUACGGAACGAAACGGUCUUUUCUAAUACAGAAGGCUAAUGACGGUACCGUAAGAAUAAGCACCGGCUAACUACGUGCCAGCAGCCGCGGUAAUACGUAGGGUGCGAGCGUUAAUCGGAAUUACUGGGCGUAAAGCGUGCGCAGGCGGUUUUGUCAGUCAGAUGUGAAAUCCCCGGGCUCAACCUUGGAACUGCAUUUGUGACUGUAUAGAUAGAGUACGGCAGAGGGGGAUGGAAUUCCGCGUGUAGCAGUGAAAUGCGUAGAUAUGCGGAGGAACACCGAUGGCGAAGGCAAUCCCCUGGGCCUGUACUGACGCUCAUGCACGAAAGCGUGGGGAGCAAACA
rnacentral:rRNA from 1 species